rnacentral:rRNA from 1 species
UACAGAGGGGGCAAGCGUUGUUCGGAAUUACUGGGCGUAAAGGGCGCGUAGGCGCCUUCUAAGUCGAACGUGAAAUCCCCGGGCUCAACCCGGGAACUGCGUCCGGUACUGGAAGGCUUGAAUCCGGGAGAGGGAUGCGGAAUUCCAGGUGUAGCGGUGAAAUGCGUAGAUAUCUGGAGGAACACCGGUGGCGAAGGCGGCAUCCUGGACCGGCAUUGACGCUGAGGCGCGAAAGCCAGGGGAGCAAAGCGGG